GCUCGUCCUGGUUUGGCCUCACUUCUCGUCAGGUUCACCAGAGGAAAACAACAAAAUGUUUCUCCUCCCUGCUGUGGCUCUGUGCUGUGUGAGCUCAGCGCUGGCUGCCAUGACAACAGAGCUCAAACAGGACAGUUUGUCACUAACCAGGAGAGUUGGAGAAAGUGUCUCCUUCAGCUGUGAACGUAUAGACCUGUGUAGUUUAGGUGCUGGUUAUGCGUUCUGGCUCCAGAAAAAAGACAACGAAACAUUCACAGGGAUUCUGAGGAUUGAUAGGGGUAGCAUGAACAAAGCUGUUUUCAAUCAUCCUCAGAAAGAUGAUUUCUCAGCUGUGAUCAAACAGAACAGCACUGAGCUGCAGAUCCAGAAGGUUAAUUCCUCUCAUUCAGCCACAUACUACUUCUCCUGUUUGUUAACACCCACAGUGAGAAAUGAUCCGAGCAGGCUGAACAAAAACCAACAGAUGAGCAGAAGUCAGAUAGUGUUUGUGACAGGAAGACAGCAGUAAACCACAGCUCACUGAGUCAUUCACCUCCAUCACACACAGGAUGAACUGAGGGAUUAUUUUACUGGUGUCUGGAUUGAUUCUUCAUUUUAUUUCUUUGUUUUUCUCAAUCAGAUAUUUCAGUAAGGUCAUGGUUAGUCCACACUGUGAGGACAAAGAGAGAAGAGCAGAAACACAUUGACAAAAUAAAUAAAUACAAUAAAA